AUCCCGCAGAGGCGGCAGCCAGCUCGUCAGUGACUUCCGGGACGUCCCCCAUCCCGCGCUCCCUGCUCCUCAGGCCCAGCUUGCUCCUUGCUCCUUUCUCCUCGCUCCUCCGACGCACAUCAGACCACUGGAAGGGGCCAUUCUACAAGGAGUUGUUGAGCACCUGCUGUCUAUCUACAGAAAUCUUGAAAUGUGGAACAGAGAUGGAAAUAUAGCAUGCAAGUCAGAAUGAAUUGCCAAACAAUGACAGAAGGCUGCUCUGAAAUGAUCAAAAUUUUCUCCUGGGACCUCACACCAAAGGAAUAUAAUAGGCAUUCAUUUCUAAGACAAUGCGGGUAAAGUGGAAUUCUAGUUUAUAUUACCUUUCUUAUUCUCUGCAUGCUGCUCUAGACAACUUUGUCAUGAUCCUUGCUUCUGGGGACUUGGUUUGUUUGGGGAAUGACAUCUUAUGAGGCAGUGGGAGCAAUACUUGUCCAGGACCAUUUUACCCAUGCAACCCAGAUGCAUAACCCAGGGGCAGAACUGGGGAUUCUAAUCAAGUCUCAAAGUGGAUAGGUUUGGAGAGGGCCAUCAUUGUAGCACAUAGAGGCUCCAAGAAGCUACAGUUCCUCCACAAGGCAAGCCCAGGUUCUGGCUUCUUUUUACAGGGUUUCAAAAGUGUGUAUUAUUUUAUUGUAUUUCUGG
rnacentral:lncRNA from 1 species